UACGGGGGGGGGCAAGCGUUGUUCGGAAUUACUGGGCGUAAAGGGCUCGUAGGCGGCCAACUAAGUCAGACGUGAAAUCCCCAGGCUCAACCUGGGAACUGCGUCUGAUACUGGUUGGCUUGAAUCCGGGAGAGGGAUGCGGAAUUCCAGGUGUAGCGGUGAAAUGCGUAGAUAUCUGGAGGAACACCGGUGGCGAAGGCGACAUCCUGGACCGGUAUUGACGCUGAGGCGCGAAAGCCAGGGGAGCAAACGGG
rnacentral:rRNA from 1 species